CCGCCAGCCACCUUCAGCUGCUUUCUGCUUGCUCCCCAGGACCGCUGGAAACCUGAUGUAACCAAAAUACAUUAUUCACUGGCAAGGAAGAGCAACUUGGAGUCACCCCGAGAAGGGAGAGCAAAGGCAAGAAUCCCAUCUUUACAGGGACUAGAGAGGGGAAUGCAGAAGAUGCUGAGGAUAGAAGAUGGGAACCAUCACCCUGGGGAGUCUGCAGAAUGCCCCUCACCCAAUUAGCAGCAAUCUCUUAGCGGAACCGCCUCACAUUCCAGCUAUCCAGGGAACCAGGUGUGGCCACUUGACUUCCUAGCCUACCUCCUGGCCUACAUGACCUGGAACACGCGGCAAGAAUCCAGUUGCCCUGCCCCCCAUUCCUUACCAUAUAUAAACUGUAACCCGUCCCUAAUAAACGGAGGCUUUGACAAAACUGCUUGGCCUCCUUCUUCUGUCUUAGCUCAUUCCCUUUCAGGUAGCGCCC